rnacentral:rRNA from 1 species
AGCGGCGGACGGGUGAGUAACGCGUGGGUAACCUGCCCUAUACACACGGAUAACAUACCGAAAGGUAUGCUAAUACGGGAUAAUAUAAGAGAUUCGCAUGGAUUUCUUAUCAAAGCUGAGGCGGUAUAGGAUGGACCCGCGUCUGAUUAGCUAGUUGGUAAGGUAACGGCUUACCAAGGCGACGAUCAGUAGCCGACCUGAGAGGGUGAUCGGCCACAUUGGAACUGAGACACGGUCCAAACUCCUACGGGAGGCAGCAGUGGGGAAUAUUGCACAAUGGGCGAAAGCCUGAUGCAGCAACGCCGCGUGAGCGAUGAAGGCCUUCGGGUCGUAAAGCUCUGUCCUCAAGGAAGAUAAUGACGGUACAUGAGGAGGAAGCCCCGGCUAACUACGUGCCAGCAGCCGCGGUAAUACGUAGGGGGCUAGCGUUAUCCGGAAUUACUGGGCGUAAAGGGUGCGUAGGUGGUUUCUUAAGUCAGAGGUGAAAGGCUACGGCUCAACCGUAGUAAGCCUUUGAAACUGGGAAACUUGAGUGCAGGAGAGGAGAGUGGAAUUCCUAGUGUAGCGGUGAAAUGCGUAGAUAUUAGGAGGAACACCAGUUGCGAAGGCGGCUCUCUGGACUGUAACUGACACUGAGGCACGAAAGCGUGGGGAGCAAACAGGAUUAGAUACCCUGGUAGUCCACGCCGUAAACGAUGAGUACUAGCUGU